AUGGAGUGGGACUUCAAGAGAUUAAUUCCUGGUGGUCAGUGAUUUCUAGAGUCCUGCUUCCCCAUCUUGCACCCACUUCUGCAAUCUGGUAUUCUGGCAUCUGUGUCUAAGCACAAGUCUAUCUUUCUGGUUCGGGUCACAACAUCCUUGAGUCCUUGACUAGAGGCCAGUAAGUCAGCAGUUGUCAAAUGUUUCAAUGUCAGAAUCUCAAUACAUGCUUAGACUUUGUUUACCCUUCUGUGGUGACUGUGCAUGUGUGGAUUAUAGCAAUCCAUGUCUAUCAUGAUAGGAACCGGAGGUUUUGAGAGUUUUGAUUCAAUGUAUAUAUUGAUAACUAAUUGCAUGUAAGGUGAAUGAGAAGAGAAAGAACAAUUUUCCGAAACGAAAUGAUGCUGCCAGAAGAACUUUUUGGAUAUUUAAUAUUUUUUUGGAGUCCUUAUUUUCAGCUUCCCCACUGUAGAUCAUAGGAUUUUGUAUCUUCCUUCUAGAAUUUUUUUUAAUAUUUGAAACAGAGAAAAAUGCAGUUUCACAGAUAUAUUUUAGGAGAAACAAUCUUAAGAUUCCGUUUUAUUUGUAUGUAUUUUGGUGAGUCUCUUUGUGUGUGCAAAGAACUCAUAGGUUCCAGAAGAGGUAGUCAGAAACCCUGGAUCUGGAGUUAAGGAACAUGUGACCUUCCAGACUCAAGUGCUGGGAAAUCAGCUCUGGUCCUCUGCAAGAGCAGCAAGGGCCUUUCAUGUUAGUUUUCUUUUGAAACAGCAUCUCAGUAUGCAGCCUGGCUGGUCUGGGAAGUGGCUAUGUAGACCAGGCUGGCCUAGCACUCAGAAAUCUAUGCUACUGGCUCCAAAAUGCUCGGAAUAAAAGGACUUUGCCAACCAAGUGGGUAAUUGUUAAUUUUUCACAUUGAUAAGUCACUAAAUGGGCACAGGUGGUACUUCCUUAAGGUUGUUCACGCUGAGGACAGCAAACAUCAUUGAAUCCUUUAUUAUUGGCUGCAUUCACAUCCACAGGAGAAUCUUGCACACUGAAUGGAUGCCAAGUUAAUGAAUGUUACUUUGAAGUAGGACAUUCUUUGACAAAGUCCUUUCAGUAAAAUUUUCAAAACCUCAGUCAUCGGCCGGGCGUGGUGGCGCACGCCUUUAAUCCCACCACUUGGGAGGCAGAGGCAGGCGGAUUUCUGAAUUCGAGGCCAGCCUGGUCUACAAAGUGAGUUCCAGGACAGCCAGAGCUAUACAGAGAAACCCUGUCUCGAAAAACCAAAAACAACCAAAAACCAAAAACCAAAACCAAAAAAAAAAAAAACCAACCAACCAAACAAAAAAACAAAACCCCCCAACAACAACAAAAAACAAACCACCCUUAAGUUGUCAGUGAAGAAGUCACAAGUCAAGUGUCCAAAAUCACUGAUGUUAUUUUGGGAGCUUAGAUAUUAUCUUUGUUGUAGUCAACUAGGUAAGGGAUCAGUUGCUGAUGAAUGGAAUUUUUUUGUUUGUUUUUAUGCUGUGGGAGGAACAAUACAUUUCUAAUCAUAUUGCCAAGGAGUUCAGGCUGGGCAGGAAGAAGAGCUCCACCAGCCCCGUGUGGCUGCAGAUGCAGGUUCCACACUUUGGAGAAAUAGUUGUUCCUUAGGCAGGUCCUUUAUUCAGCUAUCUGGAAUGAGACCCACUACCUAUAAAUGAGGGAUGUCUAGACUGGCUGCUGUACAGUUCUGUGCAGUUUACAAGCACCUCUAUUAAUGUCACUUGUAAGCACCUCUGUCCAUGCCACUUCCAGUGAUGUGACUCUGAGUUCAGUCCUGGCUGGUCACAAUUCAGUCCUGGUUGGAGGAUCUGGGCUCAGGGCUGGAAAUGCUGCUCUGAGAUGUCAGCUUCCAGUAUUCUGCAGCCUAUGAUUUGCCUGGAGGGGAGGAUUUCCUUUUGGGAGUCUUGGAACAAGCUUGAGCGAUUCCCUAGUGAUCACCUGUUUUGUUUUCUGAUCUCUUAUUAAUGGCCUUCCCACUGCUGCUGGCAUAUGUGACUCAGUGCAUUAUCCAAAGCAGUGCUUCUCACCCUUCCUAAUGCUGGAACACUUUAAUACAGUUCCUUGUGGGAAGCCGCAAAAGCCAUUACAAGAUGGCGCUGGUUUCUUUAUGCCGACGCCCAUGAAUUUGGGUAAACAACCAAUGUGCGCAUGUGCAUAAGAGUUUUUUACUGAGUCACUGCUUGGCCUGAUGCAUAUUAAUGAGGUACUGGUAGCAUAAUCAAUCAGGUAUGGACACGUCACUCCUAGGCCUAUAUAAGCAGCGCCAUUUCUGGGCUUGGGGUCUUUCGCCUAUGUAGUCCAUGCUCUCCCAAUAAACGUGUUGCAGAAGGAUCCUGUUGUGGCGUCUCACUUGCUGGCAAGUCGGGCAUCCCACAGUUCCUCACGUUGUGGUGACCCCAACCAUCAAAUUGCCUUUUUUGCUACUUCAUAACUGUCAUUUGUAUUUUAAUCUCAAUGUAAGAAUUUUUGGAUACACAGGUUUGCCAAUGAGGUAGCAACGCACAUGUUUAGAACCACUGAUUUAAAGUGCUAUGGUUAGGUCAUUGUUGAGAACUACGUCAUAAUUAAGUGUGUAAGUCUAUGGAAUCCUUAUUUCUCUGAUUCUGUUAAAUUGACCUGGAUUUCAUGAACAUGAGACUAUUACAGUGACUCUUUAUAGCAAUAAAAAUCCUAAGACAGUGUAAAAUACUAUUUAAUACUAAAAAUAUUCUCUAAUAGAAUUCUUCUAAUGUAGAAGGCAAUGGUGGUGCAUGCCUGUAACACUUGUCAUUGGGAAGCAGAGGAGUUCAAACCUUCCUGAACUAGAGGGGAUUCAUUUCUUUUCUUUUUUUUUUUUCUCUUGGUUUUUCGAGACAGGGUUUCUCUGUGUAGCCCUGGCUGUCCUGGAACUCACUUUGUAGACCAGGCUGGCCUCUAACUCAGAGAUCCGCCUGCCUCUGCCUCCCAAGUGGUGGGAUUAAAGGCGUGCGCCACCACACCCAGCAGGAUUCAUUUCUUAAAGAGCAAAAGCAUUGACAAAAAUUCACAUAGCAAUUAAAUACUUCCUGUCUACAAAUCUCAUCUGAAACAUUACUGCAAUUUUUUCCCCCACACACAUAAGUGGACACAGUUCAGAUUGUCUCCGGAGAGCUAGGUGUCAAGGCACACCCAAGCAAACCCAGCAUUUGGAAGGUUCAGGCAGGAGGAUCAGGAGUUCAAGACCAUGAUGGAGGGGAAGACACAGUCUCUUUCUGAUGGAGUCUCCAGAGAAUGAACUGGGGAAAGUUAGUCAACAGCUGUCAGAGGAGGCGAGCAAUGACAGGAAAUCUCUAGCUUAUUUACAAAGAAAUACAGGAAAUAAUACAGAGCAGACCAGGGAAGAGUCCUGUCCUGUACUUAAGUCUAACCCUCAUGGUAGGAUCCUGCAGAUGAACUUGGUGGGUAGGCAGCAGUCACAGACCUCCAUUUUUCUCCCCUGUUCUGAGAACAGGAGAGUGGCACCUCCCUUCUCUGCAGCACUGAGUACACGUCUAACACUCUGUAGAAACAUUAAACAAAACCGGAUAGGGCUGGGACACUCGGGUAUAACACAUGGAAACAUCUGCCAGGAGUAAGUGAGGGUGGCUUGGAUAAAAACUAUCAGAAGCAGUGUGUGAUGGCAAGAAUCAUGUACCUUAUUAGCAAAGUAGAAAAGGAAACAUUAGAAAGCAGAAGGGAAAAGUCCAGAAUUCAUAAAGGGGGUACUGUGGGCCUAGCGAGCACCCACACCGAAUAGAAGUGAUCAGAGCUAUGGUAAAGACAGAAGGAUCCUUAAAAAAAAAAUCCAUUGUGCUCCCAGUAACAGAUAUUUUAAUUCUAGAGAGAGGGAGCAAGAUAGACAAGAAUGUUACAAGCAGACAUAGCAGGAGAGAUAGUGGAAAACACUCUCCACUCAGUUCUCAACCAGAGCAGUUUUGUUUUUUUUUGUUUUUUGUUUUUCAAAGACCUCUACUGAGCUGGUGGUUUGUUAGCCCCAGCCCCUCCAGUAACCACUCUCUCAGGACAGUCAGAGCAUUGGAAUAUAUGCUGACACCUGGCCAGAUGGAAAACACAGGAAGGAAGAGGCUUUAAAUCAGUGCAGAUUUCAGUGUGGUAGAAUACUUGUCAGACCCAGAGUCUGCACAGACCAUUGACACGGGUUCCAUCCAGUUUAAGUGUGUGCUCACAAGAUGACAGGAAGAUCCUUAUAGAGGUCCAGUCAUGUUUCAAAAUGAGACUGUAGAAGACAUGUCCAGAGUGUCAGCAGCAUAUGAGAACUGACUCAUGGGGGGUGCCUAGUGGUGGAACCUCUACCUUCUGUGGUGUCAAACUGUGAAGGAUUGCCCAGGGGCACAGUAUACUCCCAAAGGCAUCAAGGCUGCAAGCAGCAAGCAGGUGAGACUUCAUUUUGUCUUUAUAUCCUACAGGACUGCCUGUCGCCCCAGCUCAUCUAACCCUCCUCAAUUUAUGAUACAUUUGGUUCGACAAGGCUGCUGUCUUGUCACAGCAGGCAAUGCAUUCAGCCCAGGGUAAGCCAGUUAUACAAGGACAUCACACUUCAUUUUUUUGUACCAGGUUUUACUCAUGUUUCGUACAUGAAUCAACCACCUACCAUGGUAAGAGAUAUCAAAACACUAGACAAAUGCAUAUCUUCAGUAAGGAAGUGUGACUUUGUAGUUCAGUGAAAAGAAAAGUUUAGUCAGUGAUGGAGAUUUCUAAGCCAGCCUCUGCUAAGAGAGGGAGAGAUGACAGGGAAGCAGACACAUGUCAGUGUAGGGAGGGCUCAGUGCUGUGGGCUGUCCUGGAGACAUUCCCUCCAGCAUGUCCCAGAGCCUCCUCUGUAUCUGGAACACAGCAACAAGCCUCUGGCAAAAAAGAUUUAAUCUAGGCAACAGCUGUCUUCACACCCAUUGUGUUCUGCAGGGAGGGAGCAACUGAGGUACAGGAAGUCUUUCUCAUUCUGUAUGACCAUUGCUUUCCAUUUCACGCCCUGCCAUGCAACAGCUACAGAGCUGGGAAGCUACCCCAUGCCACAGAUGCAAACUGUGGCACCAAGAUAAGAUCACCCUAAUAGAAGAUGCUCCUGUGAACACAGUUGUGGGAAAAGGAUGCUGCAACUACAUAGGACCCAAGAAAUGGGUAAGGGUAAAAAGCCUGGGUCCUUAAUCUCUGAGAUAUUAAAUGGUGGCAAUAAUGUGGGUGCUUGAAAAAUUUAAAAGGUUCCCAGGUACAGGAAGGUACAGAAUUUUGGCUGCAUAUUUGUGCCUUGAGGAUCUUUGGAAGGUCAAUGUGGUGUCACAGAGGGACACAGGAUAAAUUUUGAGUGGAGUUCAUAAGAGAUCUGUCAGUAGUGCAUUAUCUUUUUCACUUCUUGCCAUUGUACACUUGGCAUUCUAUGAACAUGGCCACUGACAAAGAAGCCAACUCCAUCCUAAAGUUCUUGAUCCUCUUAGGAUCUGUUUGGUCUCUGAUAACCAGAAAGCUGCACAUUAGUGCAAUUGGACUCAGCACACCAGUCAAAAACCGUGAUGUGACUAGACAAUGAAACCAUAGAUCAGCAACAGAGAUGGAUAUGUCAGGGAGAUAGGUAGGCCUUUGUUUUCUUUUCCUUCCUUGAUUCUGUCAACCAGAUCAGCAUCUGGGCUAGGACUCAGAUGGAUGUUGUCAGCAGGACAGGUAUGGUGAUCAGGGUAAACAACUUGUCCCAAGACACUGCUCCUAGGAUAUAUGGGACUAGAACUGAAUCUGUGGUCAGGAAGCCAGGCUAUGGAGGUUUGUCCCCAAUAAUUAAUCUUUUCAUGACCCCUCAGGUCUCAGUAUCUCCCACUGUGUACUGUAAGAGAAGCCAAUCAGCCUCUUCCAGAAGCUCAGAAAUGUAUUGUGAAUGGAAAUCAUUCUGGACUAAACCUGUACCAUCAUUUAGGCGGAAGACUCUGUUACCUGAAGUCCUCCUCUUGCUGCUGGCAGCUAUGCUGGCCUGAACUCUGAGAUAUUAAAUGGUGGCAUCUGAGUAUUGGAACUGAGAGAAAGAAUCUCAUUCUGAAGCCACAAGGAUGCUGUGCAUCACUGCAGACAUGGGAAGCCUAGCUUUGGCCCUGCUUGUCCCAGCAACUCCAGGCUUCCCCUUUAGGCUCCCCUUGCCUGGCUUCCUAUAUCAUCCAGGUCCAGAGCUGGGCUCCCUGUUCACCCCCCAGCCUAGUGAACUUUCUCAGGUGCCAGGAGGAGGGCAGGGUCCCAUUGCAUGUUGGUUUUAGGCUCCUAUGAGCUGUGUUAUUUCUAUGCCCUUUCUCCUGAGGCUGCCCUCCUGGAGCCCUGGGUCUCAUUCAUUCUUGAGUUGUGUUUCAGGCAUGCAGAUUGUGGGAAGCAAUAGAGAUCUUGGACUUGCUCUUCUACUACAGGCUGAGCAGAGAUGUCUCUCCACAGGUGUUUCCCCAGACCCUGUUCAACUGUCCUGCGGGUCGGGACAAACUGGUGCCUGAACCCCAGGAGAUCACAGAGGAGAGAAUGCCGCUCUUCAUUGGAGGGUAGGCCUACCUCUCAUCUUGAGAAACGCCAGAAAGUGACUUUGGUUCCACAUGACGCCACUGAGCAACCUAUCUUGAGACAGUCUGGGAGGAAUAAAUAAAGGGGCGCAGAUCUUAGGAGAAAUACGAUGCUGCUCCAGACGAAGAUACUCAUGAUCUUGUGGCUGACUAGAAUAACCACCAACCUUCAACUGCCUCCCGCCCCCAAAUCUCCUAAUAAUAGGCACCUCCUUUGGAAUUACACUUGGAUGGACCUCUCAGAGAGAAAUGAUGUUGUUUGGACCCCUUGUAAGACCUCUACCAAUUUGACUCAUUCUUUUUACAGCAGGGAGGACUGUGUGCAGCUCUUAAGGAAGAGUGUUGCUUUUAUGUAGAUAAAACAGGAAUGGUUAAAGAGAGCAUGAGAAAAGUAAGAGAAGGCUUAGAAAAAAAGACAGAGAGAAAGAGAGAGAAAAAGAAGAGAGCUGGUAUAAAAAUUGGUUUUCAACCUCUCUGUGGUUGUCAAUCUUAUUUCCUUCCAUUUUGGGACCGUUAGUUGGAUUGUUUUUGCUUCUUUCUUUUGGUCCCUGGGCCCUUAAUGGACUUACCAGUUUUCUGAAACAUCAGAUAGAUGAUUUGGCAGCAAAACCUAUCCAAGUAUAUUAUCAUAAGUUAGCUACUGAGGACCAAGAGAUUGGAGACGAGGUUGUUAUUCCCUCCAGGGUGUUCCCAAAGGCCAUCUCCACCCAACCUAAGGAAGGCGACUCCAGCCCCAGCACCAAGUAGCAAGGGGCCAUCCAGAACCCCUCUGACUGGUGAUCUAAGUUUUUGCUUGGGCUGUGAGGCAAAGCACUGCAAGGGAAUGUAAAGCAAAAACUAAAAACAUUUUUCUGGGUUCCCUGAGGGACAAGCCUGACUGCAUAGGGGUUGAUAUACAAAAAUUAUCCCCUCUCCAGGAAAAAAGACAUCAGGAUAAGUAUGGUCCCCAUGCUUCACUGGACAACACCAGGAGGAUGGGAGCCAUUACAAGAUCCCCUUUAGUCACUUGAGGUCAGGCCUCUAUCCUUGCCUUAGCAAAGAAUAAAAUCGCCAUGGUCCUUCUAUACUAAAAGGAAGGGGGAGAUGGGAGCCACCCUGUUUAAAUGUUAACUGCCUUAUCAGCCAUAAGUGCUUACUUACAAAGUUUUGGCCUUAGUGGAAAAGUACUAGCUUAGUUGAGAUUUCUGUGGGAAACGUUGAGGCCUCUAUGGGAAAGUACUACCCCCAGUUAAGAACAAAUCUAUAGAUCUUGUGGACAGGUGCCUAGCAACCCAUUCUGUUCUGUUCCUCCUGCUGAACUUUUUACCUAGCCAAUAUCCUGCUUUUGGGAACAGGUGGGUUCCCCCAGAAACAAAGCGAUUCUGCGUCACCCCCUUCCCCAUAUCCUACUUCUAUGGGUAUAAAACCUGCCUGGGAAAAAUAAAAUUUGUCAGCUUGAUCAGAGUUGUUUUUGA